AUGUAUCCUCGGAAGGUUCUCAUGCGCCGUCAUUCUUGGAUGUGUUUGGAUUGCAGCACGAUGCAGGAAGACCUGGAGACCCUGCUGGCCUUGCAAAGGGCCAAUACCGUGUCCCAGUACCAUCAGGCACACCAAGCAGGGUCUCCACAGGACCUGUCACUGUGGAAGGUCACCGACCACCAGGGCUUUCUGCAGGACAAGGAGCUGCCCGGCCCCAGCCCCCACGAGGCCAAGGUGAGAGCCCAUCCUGGGCCCUGGGCAGGACGUGGGGGUGGUGCUGGGGCCAGCUGUCUGCACCCCGUCCCCCAGGACAUCCCCGGGUGUCUCCCCAGUCCCCCGUCCCAGCGCUGCAACGGGCUGCCGGGAAUGCACCCCAGACCAGGAGCCGUGGUCCACGGGGUGCCCUGUGCCUUCCUGGCUCCUCCGGGUCCCGCGGGGGACUGGACGCGGCCCGAGCGCCCACCUCCUGUGGCUGGAGCCUCAUCUGCAGCCCCCGCUUGUCCUCUUCCAGAAACUCCACCAGAAGACCCGGCGCGCGACAAAUGGAUAAAAAUGCUCAAGCGAUGGGACCACUACCUCCCCAGCGAGAAGGUGGGGCGCUGGGUGCCCCUGAGGGCUCUCUGUCCUGACAGAGCUGGGGGGCCGCCCUCAGUGUCCUCCUGCCCCGUCCUGGGGGGAGACCCCU
rnacentral:lncRNA from 1 species